GGUUAGGUGGCCGAGGCAGGCGGCAGGCUGUAAACCUGCAGACGGGUCUACCACCCCCUUUCCA
rnacentral:tRNA from 1 species